rnacentral:rRNA from 1 species
GGUACCCCGGGGAUAACAGGCUGAUCUUCCCCAAGAGUCCAUAUCGACGGGAUGGUUUGGCACCUCGAUGUCGGCUCGUCGCAUCCUGGGGCUGGAGUCGGUCCCAAGGGUUGGGCUGUUCGCCCAUUAAAGCGGUACGCGAGCUGGGUUUAGAACGUCGUGAGACAGUUCGGUCCCUAUCCGCUGUGCGCGUAGGAGUCUUGAGAAGGGCUGUCCCUAGUACGAGAGGACCGGGACGGACGAACCUCUGGUGUGCCAGUUGUUCUGCCAAGGGCAUGGCUGGUUGGCUACGUUCGGGAGGGAUAACCGCUGAAAGCAUCUAAGCGGGAAGCCUGCUUCGAGAUGAGGACUCCCACCCACUUGAUGGGGUAAGGCUCCCAGUAGACGACUGGGUUGAUAGGCCGGAUCUGGAAGCACGGUAACGUGUGGAGGUGACCGGUACUAAUAGGCCGAGGGCUUGUCCUCAGUUG